GUGCUUCAGCGGCACAUAUACUAAAAUUGAAAUGAUACAGAGAAAAUUAGCAUGGCUUCUGUGCAAGGAUGACAUGCAAAUUCAUGAAGUGCUUCAUAUUUAA
rnacentral:snRNA from 1 species